rnacentral:rRNA from 1 species
GACGAACGCUGGCGGCGUGCUUAACACAUGCAAGUCGAACGGUAAAGCUCUUCUUAGGUGAUGAGUUGCGAACGGGUGCGUAACACGUGGACAACAUUCCCCCGGCCUUGGGUUAAGUACAAGUAAUGGAGGCUAGUACCAGAAGUGCAUAGCUGCUCGCACGGGUGGGUGUGGAUUGGAUUUCCGGCUGGGGAUGGGCUCGCGGCUUAUCAGCUUGUUGGUGGGGUAGUGGCUUACCAAGGCAACGACGGGUAGCCGGCCUGAGAGGGUGACCGGCCACACUGGGACUGAGAUACGGCCCAGACUCCUACGGGAGGCAGCAGUGGGGAAUAUUGCACAAUGGGCGGAAGCCUGAUGCAGCAACGCCGCGUGGGGGAUGACGGCCUUCGGGUUGUAAACCUCUUUCGCCAGGGACGAAGCGUGAGUGACGGUAAUUGGAAAAGAAGCACCGGCCAACUACGUG